CCGCUGGCGCGUGCAGGGCUGCGAGAGAGGGGCCAGAGCACGUCUCCAUCACUUCCUCCUGCUGCAGAGAGCAGAGGCACUCCCGAGGGUCACCGCUGGACACCGCGGUCCUGACUGGGUCACAGGCUGCAGAGGCCAGCCGGCGAGUUGGUGACAGUGGCUGGGCCCAAGGGGAGGAGUUGCUGCAGACUUGGGCUGUCUCCAGACUCGGCUGGGCCACCCCCAACCCGCGGAGCUGCUGGCUGAGCUGUGAAGGGAAUGUCCAGGAGUUGAAGCUGUCACAUCUUGGGGUAGGAGACGGCAAGGGGGUGCUGCCAUCCUUCCUGCCCCGGAGUUUUGCCCCAGGAAACCGCCAGCCAGACUCACCUCACUGUCAGGCACAGGGAUGCUGCCCUAGUGGGUGGGGCUUGAAUGAGGGGCCCUGGGGGGCUGUGAGGCGCAGGCUGGGGUGUUCCCGCCAGCCUGCAGGGGCAAUCAUGCUUCUGACUGGUCCUCCAACAGGGGGACCCUCCCUUAGAAUCCUGACAUCUGUCAGUGCAGCCAUUCAAGCAGCCACCUCCCAGGACACCUCUGUUUGGACAGUGUUUUCUUUCCCGU